AAAAAGGAAAAGGGGAGAGGGGGAAGAGGAAAGUGUGGGGGGGCGGUUGAAAGACCGCCUAGCGGGGGGGGGGGGGGGGGGGGGUACUUCCCCCCCCCUGCUUUUUUUACACUUUCUCCAACAAAACUACGCCGUUUCCCUUUUUUUUGCCUCCACAGGGGGGUUUUUUUUGCGGGGGGUCCAAACUUUCCAUACCUAUCUCCGGACCCAAAAGGCGCUGAGGGGUGUUUUAAAAAAUAAGGAACCAAAAUCCCCGGGGUUCUGGCGCCGCCCACAGUUUCCAUGUAUUUUUUAGCGGUCGGCGCGUGCCGGGGGGGGGCUUUUCUCUUUCCUGUCUGGGGAGGCGUUUAUAUAGUCGAGCCCCCCCGGGAAGGGGGGGCCCCUCUUUGUUGUGUGUUUUUUAGGUUUUUUUCUCGCUCAGAUGAACGCUGGCGGCAGGCCUAACACAUGCAAGUCGAGCGGAUGAAGGGAGCUUGCUCCUGGAUUCAGCGGCGGACGGGUGAGUAAUGCCUAGGAAUCUGCCUGGUAGUGGGGGAUAACGUCCGGAAACGGGCGCUAAUACCGCAUACGUCCUGAGGGAGAAAGUGGGGGAUCUUCGGACCUCACGCUAUCAGAUGAGCCUAGGUCGGAUUAGCUAGUUGGUGGGGUAAAGGCCUACCAAGGCGACGAUCCGUAACUGGUCUGAGAGGAUGAUCAGUCACACUGGAACUGAGACACGGUCCAGACUCCUACGGGAGGCAGCAGUGGGGAAUAUUGGACAAUGGGCGAAAGCCUGAUCCAGCCAUGCCGCGUGUGUGAAGAAGGUCUUCGGAUUGUAAAGCACUUUAAGUUGGGAGGAAGGGCAGUAAGUUAAUACCUUGCUGUUUUGACGUUACCAACAGAAUAAGCACCGGCUAACUUCGUGCCAGCAGCCGCGGUAAUACGAAGGGUGCAAGCGUUAAUCGGAAUUACUGGGCGUAAAGCGCGCGUAGGUGGUUCAGCAAGUUGGAUGUGAAAUCCCCGGGCUCAACCUGGGAACUGCAUCCAAAACUACUGAGCUAGAGUACGGUAGAGGGUGGUGGAAUUUCCUGUGUAGCGGUGAAAUGCGUAGAUAUAGGAAGGAACACCAGUGGCGAAGGCGACCACCUGGACUGAUACUGACACUGAGUCGAAGAUAC
rnacentral:rRNA from 1 species